rnacentral:rRNA from 1 species
UACGUAGGGGGCGAGCGUUGUCCGGAAUCAUUGGGCGUAAAGCGCGUGUAGGCGGUCCGGUAAGUCCGCUGUGAAAGUCGGGGGCUCAACCCUCGGAUGCCGGUGGAUACUGUCGGGCUUGAGUACGGAAGAGGCGAGUGGAAUUCCUGGUGUAGCGGUGAAAUGCGCAGAUAUCAGGAGGAACACCAAUUGCGAAGGCAGGUCUCUGGGCAUUAACUGACGCUGAGACACGAAAGCCAGGGGAGCAAACGGG